UACGGAGGGUGCAAGCGUUAUCCGGAUUCACUGGGGUUAAAGGGAGCGCAGGCGGAUUUGUAAGUCAGUGGUGAAAGGCUUAAGCUUAACUUGGGAACUGCCAUUGAUACUAUAAGUCUUGAAUGUUGUUGAGGUUUGCGGAAUGGGUCAUGUAGCGGUGGAAUGCAUAGAUAUGACCCGGAACACCUAUUGCGAAGGCAGCAGGCUAAACAAAUAUUGACGCUGAGGCUCGAAAGCGUGGGGAUCAAACAGG
rnacentral:rRNA from 1 species